UAAUAUUGGGUUAGGAUUAAUUUGGGUCCUUGUAAUUAUUUUGGGCCGAUGGACUGUCAAUAUUUGUUGUAAAUGGGUUGUAAUAUUUAGACUAUUAUAAUAUUUUUAUUAUAAUUUAUUCUUUUUAUUUUUUUUGUUUUGUGUUUAUACGGGCCCGAGCCAAAAUUGGGCCUUAUAGUCAUUAUUAAUUCUUACUAACUUUGUGAAUAUUAAUGGCUCAGAUCAUCUCAAGCCAUUAACUUAUUUUAAACAUGGCUUAAUUACCUAUAAGGAUA
rnacentral:lncRNA from 1 species